rnacentral:rRNA from 1 species
GACAGAGGGUGCAAGCGUUGUUCGGAAUUAUUGGGCGUAAAGGGCGCGUAGGCGGCCUUGCAAGUCAGAUGUGAAAUCCCAGAGCUCAACCCUGGAAGUGCAUCUGAUACUGCUUGGAUUGAGUCCCGGAGAGGGUGGUGGAAUUCCCAGUGUAGAGGUGAAAUUCGUAGAUAUUGGGAGGAACACCGGUGGCGAAGGCGACCACCUGGACGGAGACUGACGCUGAGGCGCGAAAGCGUGGGGAGCAAACAGG